GUGGCGGUGUGUUCCCACCGGGCGUUCUCGUCGAGCAGGGCGCUCUCGCCGAACCGGUCGCCGUCGCCGAGCACGUCCAGGGCGAGCUCGUCGCCGUACCCUCCGACGGAGGUCUGGCUGAUCCGGCCGUGGGCGAUGAGGUGGAGCCGGUCCGCGGGCGCGCCGCGCUCGACCAGCGUCUCGCCGACCUCGAAGUCGCGCUGGACGCAGUGACCGGCGAUGGCGGUGAGGACCUCCACGUCGUCGAAGCCGCGCAGCAAGGCCAGUUCGCCGAGUUCACGGGGGAUCACCCGGACGUCGGCGCCGUCCUGGACGAACUCCACCCGCCCGUCGCCGACGGUGUAGGUGAGGCGGCGAUUCACCCGGUAGACCCCGCCCUUGGUCUCCACCCAGGGGAGCAUCCGCAGCAGCCAGCGAUCGGAGAUCCCCUGCAUCUGCGGGGCGGACUUGGUCGUGGUGGCAAGGUUGCGGGCGGCCGCCGUGCCCAGGGUGGACUGCUGCGGCGG
rnacentral:antisense_RNA from 1 species